GAUGAAGAACGCAGCGAAAUGCGAUAAGUAAUGUGAAUUGCAGAAUUCAGUGAAUCAUCGAAUCUUUGAACGCACAUUGCGCCCGCCAGUAUUCUGGCGGGCAUGCCUGUCCGAGCGUCAUUUCAACCCUCGAACCCCUCCGGGGGGUCGGCGUUGGGGAUCGGCCCUUUCACCGGGUGCCGGCCCCUAAAUACAGUGGCGGUCUCGCCGCAGCCUCUCAUGCGCAGUAGUUUGCACACUCGCACCGGGGGCGCGGCGCGUCCUCGUCCGUAAAACACCCCAAACUUCUGAAAUGUUGACCUCGGAUCAGGUAGGAAUACCCGCUGAACUUAAGCAUAUCAAUAAGCGGAGGA
rnacentral:misc_RNA from 1 species